rnacentral:misc_RNA from 1 species
GAUGAAGAACGCAGUGAAACGCGAUAUUUCUUGUGAAUUGCAGAAGUGAAUCAUCAGUUUUUAAACGCACAUUGCACUUUGGGGUAUCCCCCAAAGUAUACUUGUUUGAGCGUUGUUUCUCUCUUGGAAUUGCUUUGCUCUUCUAAAAUUUCGAAUCAAAUUCGUUUGAAAAACAACACUAUUCAACCUCAGAUCAAGUAGGAUUACCCGCUGAACUUAAGCAUAUCAAUAAGCGGAGGA